ACUCCCCGGCUGCAAACCAGAUGUGAUCUCCAAGCUGGAAGAGUGGGAAGACCCCUGGACUAUGGAGACAGAUGUUCUGAGAGGUCCAGGUGAGUGAAGUAAAGGUCUAUCAGGCUCAAAGCCUGGGCCCCGACCUGCAUGGCUACCUCUAGACAAAGGUGCUCUGCUUCGGGGGCAGAUGACAAUGGGACUCACAAGGCAGGAUUUCUGGCACACCAUCGUGAGAGAAGUCACAGAGCAUGAAGGCCAGGUGACAGACACUGCCGAGCAGUGACACGCAGCCAGCGGAAGAAGAGCCCAGAGUGGAACCUUGCAGGAACUUUCUUCUGGCGCCCAUUCCUUGUUGAGCAUCAGGGCAAUCCCCAGGGGUGCAAGAUCUCACAAGCCAGGUUGGCAGAAGGGCCUCACCUGUGUUUCAGUCCUAGAUCGGGGGUGCCCUGCCAAGGAGACUGUAAGUGUAUGGAAGCCCUCAGCUCUUUUCCAGACCUUAGUCGCCCACGAGGAGUUCACACUGAGGAGGAUACAUUGGUGUGCGGUGGGUGCAAAGAUGGCUUUAGCAAGAAUGCAUGCCUUGCAGGCGAUCAGCGGGUUCCCACUAAAUGGAAGCCCUACACAUGCAAGGAGUGUGGGAAGGCCUUUGGACAGACACACAUGUCAUUCAGCACCAGAGAGCCCACACUGGCAAGAAGCUGUACACAUGCUGGCAAUGUGGACAGGCCUUCAGCAAGAACUCGUGCCUCGUAAGCACCGUGCAUCCACACAGGUGAAAAGCCCUAUGCGUGUGGCUACUGCAGCAAGCGCUUCCGAGAGAACUCGUCCCUGGCCAAGAACCAGCAGGUACACACAGGCAAGAAGCAUAUACCUGUGGCGAGUGCAGGCAUGCCUUCAGCCAGAGCACUCACCUCGUGCAGCACCAGCGAGCCCACACCGGGGAGAAGCUGUUCACCUGUCAUGAGUGUGGCAGAGCCUUCACCAACUCGUCGACCCUCCUGGUCCACCACAGAACCCACGCAAGAGAGCAGCCAUAUGAGUGUCACACAUGCCGCAAGGCGUUCAGCCUCAGCUCAUCCCUGACCGAGCACGAGCGCUGCCACACAGGAGGGAAGCCAUACACGUGCCAGGAAUGUGGGAAAGCCUUCAGCCAGAGCUAGUCCCUCAGCAAGCGCCUGAGGACACACACGGGUGAGAAGCCAUAUGCGUGCAAUGCCUGUGGCCACGCCUUCAGCCAGAGUUCCUCCCUGGCCAAGCACCAGCGAGUGCACACCAGCAAGCGGCCCUACACGUGUGGAAAAUGCAGGAGGGCUUUCGUCCAGAGCACGUUCCUCACUCAGCACAAGAGGAUCCACACUGGGGAGAAGCCUUUUGUUUGUGGAGACUGUGGAAGGGCCCUUGUGCAGAGCUUCUCCCUCACCCUCCACCUCAGGACACACGCCGGGGAGAAGCCCAACAAGUGCAACGAGUGUGGCAAGGCUUACGUCCAGAUGUCACACCUCACUGAGCACUACCGGGUGCACACGGGGGGAACAGCCCCAUGCGUGCCAUGCAUGCAGCAAAGCCUUCAGCCGCAGCACCAGCGCGUCCACGCGGGGGCCAAGCCCUUCAUAUGCAGCCUGUGUCAGAAAACCUCCCGUGAGGCUGCGGCCCUUGUUCUGCAUCAGAGGAUUCAUGCCAGACAGGAGCCCUUUGAGUGUCACAAAUGUGGGAAAGCCUUCAGCUAGAGCAGAUCCCUGGCCCGGCAUUGGAGAAUUCAUUCCCAGGGGAUGCCAUGUGAGUGCAGCAACUAUCAACAAACCCUUGGCAACUGUUUGGUUCUCAUCCAUCAGUGAACUGGGGAUGUGCCAGAUGGGGUAGAGACCUUCUGUCUGUCCUUGGUGUGUUGUCCUUCAUCCAGCAGGGGGCCCUGUGAGUGGCAGGAACUGUGCAGAGCAGCCCCCUUGCACAUCAUAUACACUUCUCUCUGCAGGGUCACACGGUUGGGUGAGAAAGCGGAGUGAGCCUUCAAGAGGAACAACAGCCCCUCCCAUUCUCCAUGCUCCGGGUUCCACAGAUAUCCACCAGGGGGUAGGAGAGAUCCACAGCAACACUCUUUUGUUUGACGGGGCUCGAAGGUAUCCUGACACUCCUCACAGCUUCACUGCCUCCAUAACCUCUCCCCACACUAGGAUUUUCCAUGCUGGGGACUGACCAUUGCUUAAAUUCUUUUUCCCAGAAAAGCAAAUGUUGCCCUAUGUCCUCAGUAGGACCUCUGUUCCGGUUCCCUGAGUAGGCCUCAGGAGCGCCAAAGUGUGCGAACACAGACCCUCAUGAGAUCUCUUUUCUGACGACCUCCAUUAUUAUCCUGGGGAUGGAUUGCAUCCUUGAACAUGCUCUGUGGUCGCCUUCCUUGAUCAGAAAGAAACCAAGAUCCCAAAUGUUAACUUUGUUGACUUUUCUGAACCGAAAGAAAGACGUCAAAAGGACUGAUGAUGUGGAUGGAAUUACUGGCUCAUUCCUUCACCCCUCCUCGUGUACACACCUUUGGCCACAUUUGUGGUUCCUCUCACUAAAGACAGCAUGGAUGCCCUUUCCUUAACUUUGGGUGUGGCCAUGUGACUCGUUUGGCCAAUGCAAUGUGAGGGGCAUUGCUAGUAUGUUAGUCUUGAGCCUGGGCACAAGCCUGCUGGCAUCUCUGCCAUCACCAUGAGCCCUACAAAACCAGUGCAACAAAGAUGGACCCAACCUGGAGCCUGGAGCCGAGCCCCGGCCAGAAGAGCCAAUCCUUAGACUCAUGAGAGGAAUACGUGCUUAUCUCUGUCAGUAACUGAACUGUUGAAACUAUUCAUUACAGAGGAUAACUGAUUGAUACAGUGCCAAGUUAAAACGAGCACUUCCUCAAAGAGAUGAGCUUUGAAAUCUGGGGAGAGGAUGAGAAAGAGACAGAGAGGAAGAGAGGAAAGUCUAUUCAGGAAAGCCCAGAGGCCUAGAACACUGGUUGAAUCAUCAGAGAAUAAGCACAAAAGGGGUCUCCCAAGGCCUGGAGUAUGGAGUUGAAGGGCCGUGGUGCAUAUGGAAGGUAAAUGCGAAUCCAGUUGUCUGUCCGUCUGCCAUUCAGUUAUUCAUUCCUUGUUCUUCAGCAAACUUCUCUUGUGCUGUGCUACAGGCAAAGAAUACCUUGGCCUCAGGCCGUGGAAAGGGCAGGACUCCUCCCAGCUCUAACAGCACAGACUCACAAUCUGUGCGGAGAGGAACGCCCUGAGGGAAGCUUCCAUGGAGUUUCCAGGUCACCCCACGCCUACUAACUGUCAGUCUGGGCUCGUUCCUCCCUGGCACCUGGGUCUCCUCUAGAUGCUACCCUCUCUCUCCUCUCCUCAGGAGCCUCCCAGAAAGUAUCCCCACAGUCAUACCAAUGCCCCUUCGACCCGUUAUGGAGUGAAGUGUGUCCCCCCCAAACUCAUAUGUUAAUAUCCUAACCUAAGCCCUAGAAUGUGACUGUAUUUGGAUAUAGGACCUUUAAAGAGGUAAUUAACAUUAAACAAAGUCACGGGGGUAGGCCCUGUUCCAGAAUGACUGGGAGAGAGAGACCAGGGGCAUAUUAAUGAGGAAAGGCCAUGGUGAGGACACAGCAAGAAAGUGGCCAUCUACUAACCAAGGAGAGAAGACUCAGGAGAAACCAACCCUGCCAACAACACUUUGAUCUUGGACUUCCAGCUUCCAGAGUGUGAGAAAAUAAGAGUUUACUGUUUAAGUCA